rnacentral:lncRNA from 1 species
GUAUAUAUUGAAUUCUAAUGAGUAAAUGUAAACUACUCAUAUCAGCAAGGUACAUAAACUCCUACUUUAGCUGGUGAAGAUCUAGGAAUCAACAGCUUAAGCAUAAAUACCUCACGUUGUCUGAAAAGCCCUGGCACAUCCAAGAUAUCCAUGUAAAACUAGCAGAUAUGACUAUAGCUCCUGUGAGAGAACCAUGCUCUUCUGCAACAGUCACUGGAAACUAGCUGGGCUAUCCAAGGCGUCUUAAAUAUCACUAGAUGCCUCUAAGUGGGAAACCGAGACACCUAGAGCGAUCUGGCCUGUGAAAACUGUUUCAGAAGCUGGAGAAGAUACGAUCAAUCAACUUGAUCAGACAGACUGGUCAAAGGGAUGGAAGGACUACAGUAUUCUCACUAAAUGGAAAGGAAACAACAGAAUAUUUUUCUCAAGAUGACCCUGAGAAUCUAAUGUAAUAGGGGUAUUACUAACUGGAAAGUCAGGUAAAUGGUUUAUUAAUUAUUCUCUUUUCCUUCAUAUUAAGCUAUAUGGCAUAUAUUUUAAAUGGUACUCAUAAUAUAAUAUCCCCAUGGAUACUAAUAUCCCCAAG